rnacentral:lncRNA from 1 species
UCUUAAUCUUAUCGUAGAUCUUGUAUUACAUUUUAUAAGAUGAACCAGGGUUUUUCAUACAAUUUGAAUUGUAUAUAUGAUUUGUGAAGAAAGUAAGUAACCUGUUCUAAUCCUGUUUUGGAUCAUAUCAUGUUAUUAAUGUUUCCUCAGCAUUUUUUUUAAGAAUAUAUGUUUCAUGCAUGAUAUGUUACAAUGCAUAAGUAAUUUGCAUGAUCCCAGAAGCUAUGGCUAUGUAUGCAACAUGAUGAUACUGAUAUUUUAAUCAUGCAUGUAAGUUUAUAAAGUCUUAGCUAGCCCAGAGGCACUAUAAUGGGCUCAAAGAUGCUACUGAGAAUGACUGAGCCGUCAGUGGCUGAAUAGUAACUGAGCUGCCCCGCCAGUGGCUGAAUAGUAACUGAGCCUGCCCCGCCAGUGGCUGAAUUGGAAUUGGGCCUGCCCCGCCAGUGGCUGAAUAGUAACUGAGCUUGCCCUGCCAGUGGCUAGAAUAGUAACUGA